UACGUAGGGCGCAAGCGUUAUCCGGAAUUAUUGGGCGUAAAGAGCUCGUAGGUGGUCUGUUGCGUCCGCUGUGAAAACCCAGGGCUUAACCCUGGGCUGGCAGUGGAUACGGGCAGACUAGAGGUAGGUAGGGGAGAAUGGAAUUCCCGGUGUAGCGGUGAAAUGCGCAGAUAUCGGGAGGAACACCGGUGGCGAAGGCGGUUCUCUGGGCCUUACCUGACACUGAGGAGCGAAAGCGUGGGGAGCGAACAGG
rnacentral:rRNA from 1 species